UACGAGGGGGGGCAAGCGUUGUUCGGAAUUAUUGGGCGUAAAGGGCGCGUAGGCGGUGCGGUAAGACUGUGGUGAAAUCUUCGGGCUCAACUCGAAGCCUGCCGCGGUGACUGCCGUGCUCGAGUGUGGGAGAGGUGAGUGGAAUUCCUGGUGUAGCGGUGAAAUGCGUAGAUAUCAGGAGGAACACCUGUGGCGAAAGCGGCUCACUGGACCAUAACUGACGCUGAUGCACGAAAGCUAGGGGAGCAAACAGG
rnacentral:rRNA from 1 species